rnacentral:rRNA from 1 species
GUGGGGAAUCUUAGACAAUGGGCGCAAGCCUGAUCUAGCCAUGCCGCGUGAGCGAUGAAGGCCUUAGGGUUGUAAAGCUCUUUCAGUGGGGAAGAUAAUGACUGUACCCACAGAAGAAGCCCCGGCUAACUCCGUGCCAGCAGCCGCGGUAAUACGGAGGGGGCUAGCGUUGUUCGGAAUUACUGGGCGUAAAGCGCACGUAGGCGGACUGGAAAGUCAGGGGUGAAAUCCCGGGGCUCAACCCCGGAACUGCCUUUGAAACUCCCAGUCUUGAGGUCGAGAGAGGUGAGUGGAAUUCCGAGUGUAGAGGUGAAAUUCGUAGAUAUUCGGAGGAACACCAGUGGCGAAGGCGGCUCACUGGCUCGAUACUGACGCUGAGGUGCGAAAGCGUGGGGAGCAAACAGGAUUAGAUACCCCAGUAGUCC